rnacentral:rRNA from 1 species
AACGAACGCUGGCGGCGUGUUUAAGACAUGCAAGUCGCACGGGAUCAUUUUGGUAGCAAUACUCGAAUGGUUUAGUGGCGCACGGGUGAGUAACAUGUGAAUGACAUGCCCUAUAGUGGGGAAUAGCCCAGGGAAACUUGGAUUAAUACCCCACGGUCUCGCUAGAGUAAAGGUGGCCGCAAGGCUGUCGCUAUAGGAUUGGUUCGCACCCUAUCAGCGUGUUGGUGAGGUAACGGCUCACCAAGGCUACGACGGGUACCUGGUCUGAGAGGACGAUCAGGCACACUGGAACUGAGACACGGUCCAGACACCUACGGGUGGCAGCAGUCGAGAAUAAUUCACAAUGGGGGCAACCCUGAUGGUGCAACGCCGCGUGGAGGAUGAAGGUCUUCGGAUUGUAAACUCCUGUCAUCUGGGAGUAAGACCUGGCCGUGAAUAGCGGACAGGGUUGAUAGUACCAGAAGAGGAAGGGACGGCUAACUUCGUGCCAGCAGCCGCGGUAA